GGAAGUAAAAGUCGUAACAAGGUUUCCGUAGGUGAACCUGCGGAAGGAUCAUUAGUGAAUAUAGGACGUCCAACUUAACUUGGAGUCCGAACUCUCACUUUCUAACCCUGUGCAUUUGUUUGGGAUAGUAACUCUCGCAAGAGGGCGAACUCCUAUUCACUUAUAAACACAAAGUCUAUGAAUGUAUUAAAUUUUAUAACAAAAUAAAACUUUCAACAACGGAUCUCUUGGCUCUCGCAUCGAUGAAGAACGCAGCGAAAUGCGAUAAGUAAUGUGAAUUGCAGAAUUCAGUGAAUCAUCGAAUCUUUGAACGCACCUUGCGCUCCAUGGUAUUCCGUGGAGCAUGCCUGUUUGAGUGUCAUGAAUACUUCAACCCUCCUCUUUCUUAAUGAUUGAAGAGGUGUUUGGUUUCUGAGCGCUGCUGGCCUUUAGGGUCUAGCUCGUUCGUAAUGCAUUAGCAUCCGCAAUCGAACUUCGGAUUGACUUGGCGUAAUAGACUAUUCGCUGAGGAAUUCUAGUCUUCGGACUAGAGCCGGGUUGGGUUAAAGGAAGCUUCUAAUCAGAAUGUCUACAUUUUAAGAUUAGACCUCAAAUCAGGUAGGACUACCCGCUGAACUUAAGCAUAUCAAUAAGCGGAGGA
rnacentral:rRNA from 1 species